AAUUUAGAGAACAUGAUGUUGGUUCAGAUCAAAUGCUAUGUAGAGACAUAACACAUGCAAGUUAUUAAAUAAAUAGCGUUAAGGUGAGUGAUAUAAGAUAAAAAAAAUAUCUUAUUCAGAUGUAGGUAAUAGAUAAUUAAAUCUAGCCUUGGAACUGGAGCCGGCGAUAAGCGUCACAACGGCCACAUUGAUUUAUUAUCAACUCUUAUAUAGAGCAGCAGUGGGGAAUCUUUGACAAUGGUCUAACGACUGAUCAAGUUAUCUACGAGAAGGAUAUUAAUUAUAAAUAUAUAAUAAUUUAUAUAUUUAAUUACAAAUAAUAAAAGAUUAACUAUAAACUUCUAAAUAAUAGUAAUAAUGAUACUAAUUAUGAAAGAGUCCUAACUAAAAUAUGUGCCAGCAGCUGCGGUGUGCGACAUGUAAGCUAUUCUUUAUAUUUCGAUAAAAUAUCGACAUUAUUCGUAACAAAUAUGUACCUAUCUAUACAUGCUUUUAAAGUGAUUUUUUAGUAUGAAGCUAUAGAAACAAUGUAAUUUAUAAUAAAUAUCACAUAUAUUAUAAAUGCUAGGUAAAUUUACUAUGGUUAAUUAAAGUUAACUACUUGUAGAGGUCUCUUUAGGCAAAUUAUUUAGUGAUAAAAUAAAUAAAUAAUAAUCAGGAGUUUGAAUAGAUUCAUCGUAUAUCUAUUCUGUUAUAAACGUUAAAACUGAUAGGGAUAAAGAGUAGAACCUAAGGUAAAUAUAUAUAAAGAAUGGAACUUGGUAAGCCUCAUAUUCACUAUAAUAUAUAUUAUAGAGGUUAUUUAUAAAAUAGAAAUAUGGAAAUAAUAAUAACGAAUAGGAGGUAAAAGACUUCUUAAAAAGCAAAUGCAAUAAUGUAAUGUUAUUGAUAAGUUUAAAUAAACUAACUUGAAAGAGUGCAGACUUAAGAUAAGGGUGUUAUUAUAAAAUUAAAAUAAUGCCUGAGCCGUAUGCGAUGAAAGUCGCACGUACGGUUCUAAAGGGGGGAAAGUUUGUGAGAACCUACCUAUCCUAAUUAGACAUAGAGGGCAAGCAUUGAUCAGAAUGGCUUAAAGGAUCUGUAGAACGAAUCUUUAAAAAUAAAGAUAUAGAAUAAUGUCUUGAAAGAGAGAUAAGGUAAUAAGAAUUAAAGUUAGAGGGAUAAAAUACUACGAAAACAUUAAGACUAUAAAGAGAUUACUUAAAAUUAUUGACGUUGUGAGAUGAAGGCUACGGUAGCGACAUGGAUUCGAUACCCAUUUAGUCGUAGCAGUUAACUAUGAGUACAAUAAAAGAAAAAUGAAAAUGAAUAGUACUCCGCCUGACUAGUACGCUCGCAAGGGUGAAAUACAAGACAUUAGACGGUUGUAGUCCCAAGCAGUGGAACAUGUCAUUUAAUUGGAUGAUCCUCCAAGAACCUUACCAUCUCUUGAAUUUUUAACAGGCGUUACAUCGUUGUCGUCAGUUCAUGCCGUGAGGUUUAAUAUUAAGUUAUUGAAUGAACGUAACCCUUUUCUUUAUAGAUAAGUAUAAUUGUAAAAUUAUAGGAAGUAGAGGUAGAAGACUAAUCAUGAUGACCCUAAUGAGAUGGGCUAUCGACGUGUUACAAUAUUAAUAACAAUUAUAUUAACUCAAAGUUAACAUAUUAUAUACUUUUAAACCCCACAGCUUAGCUACGGGCCAGUAUAUUUAUUAAAUAUUAAGAUUAAGACAUAGUUUCAUUUAUGAAUUGUAAUCUGAAAUUCGGUUACAUAAAGGAGGAAUUGCUAGUAAUCGUAAACUAGAGUGUUACGGUGAAAUUUUUUGCUACUUCGUACUAACCACUCAUCAACAGCAAGAAAUUUUAAUUUUACUUAUUGAGCUUUUAUUAAAAGGACUUGCUGUAAGUUGAAAUACGGUUCGGUUAGGGGAACCUGAUCGGGAUUUAUUUAUUUA
rnacentral:rRNA from 1 species